UCGAACGUGAAAGCACUUCGGUGUGAGUAGAGUGGCGGACGGGUGAGUAACGCGUGGGAAUCUACCCAGUAGUGGGGGACAACUACCGGAAACGGCAGCUAAUACCGCAUACGCCCUAUGGGGGAAAGGCUUCGGCCGCUAUUGGAUGAGCCCGCGUCAGAUUAGCUAGUUGGUAGGGUAAAGGCCUACCAAGGCAACGAUCUGUAGCUGGUCUGAGAGGACGAACAGCCACACUGGGACUGAGACACGGCCCAGACUCCUACGGGAGGCAGCAGUGGGGAAUAUUGGACAAUGGGCGAAAGCCUGAUCCAGCAAUGCCGCGUGUGUGAAGAAGGCCUGCGGGUUGUAAAGCACUUUCAGUUGGGAAGAUGAUGACGUUACCAACAGAAGAAGCACCGGCUAAAUCCGUGCCAGCAGCCGCGGUAAUACGGAUGGUGCGAGCGUUAAUCGGAAUUACUGGGCGUAAAGCGCGCGUAGGCGGCUAAGUCAGUCAGAAGUGAAAUCCCCGGGCUCAACCUGGGAAUUGCUUUUGAUACUGCUUAGCUAGAGUUUGGUAGAGGAUAGUGGAAUUCCAGGUGUAGCGGUGAAAUGCGUAGAUAUCUGGAGGAACAUCAGUGGCGAA
rnacentral:rRNA from 1 species